rnacentral:rRNA from 1 species
UACGAAGGGUGCAAGCGUUACUCGGAAUUACUGGGCGUAAAGCGUGCGUAGGCGGUUUGUUAAGUCUGUCGUGAAAGCCCCGGGCUCAACCUGGGAAUGGCGAUGGAUACUGGCGAGCUAGAGUACGGUAGAGGAGAGUGGAAUUCCCGGUGUAGCAGUGAAAUGCGUAGAGAUCGGGAGGAACAUCAGUUGCGAAGGCGGCUCUCUGGACCAGUACUGACGCUGAGGCACGAAAGCCAGGGGAGCGAACGGG